rnacentral:lncRNA from 1 species
UUGCCUCAUUCCUACUCCACCCUCAUGCCUGAUGACAUUGAUACUCUGCUCUCUUCCAGAUAUGCAGACACAACCACACCCAUGAACGCUACUGCAAGAAAUGCAUCUACACUGUGAGACCAGCUAAACCCUCCUUUUCUCUCUUGGGUAAAGAAAGAGAGACAGAGGAAGGGCCAACACGGAGCUAACCAGGAGAAUUCUAGAGGUGCUCCCCAUCCACUCACUCUGUCUCCUUUGCCAACAGUAUGGGACUUCCACACGUCUUCACAGCACGCGAGGACGCACUCCUCAGCGCCCAGGCAAACGGAUGAUA